rnacentral:rRNA from 1 species
GAUGAACGCUGGCGCCGUGCCUAAUACAUGCAAGUCGAGCGAACAGACGAGGAGCUUGCGCCUCGGACGUUAGCGGCGGACGGGUGAGUAACACGUGGAUAACCUACUUAUAAGACUGGGAUCACUACGGGACACCGGCUCUAAUACCGUAUAAUAUAUUGAACCGCAUGGUUCAAUAGAGAGAGACGGCUUUGCUGUCACUUAUAGAUGGAUCCGCGCCGCAUUAUCUAGUUGGUAAGGUGACGGCUUUGCAAGGUAACGAAGCGUAGCCGACCUAAGAGGGUGAUCACCCACACUAGAGCUGAGCCACGGUCCAGACUCCUAAGGGAGGGCGCAGUAGGGGAUCUUACGCAGUAGGCGGAAGCCUGACGCAGCAGCGCCAAGUGAGUGAUGAGGGUCCUCGGAUCGUAAAGCUCUGUUAUUAGGGAAAAACAAAUGUGUAAGUAACUAUGCACGUCUUGACGGUACCUGAUCAGAAAGCCACGGCUAACUACGUG